GCCAGGCGUGGUGGCAUGCGCCUGUAGUCCCAGCUACUUGGGAGGCUGAGGCAGGAGAAUUGCUUGAACCCAGGAGGCGGAGGUUGUAGUGAGCCAAGAUGGCGCCACUGCACUCCAGCCUGGGUGACAGAGCAAGACUCUGUCUCAA
rnacentral:SRP_RNA from 1 species